GCGGAUGUGGCGGAACUGGCAGACGCGCUAGAUUUAGGUUCUAGUAUCUUUGUGAUGUGGGGGUUCGAGUCCCUUCAUCCGCACUA
rnacentral:tRNA from 1 species